rnacentral:rRNA from 1 species
UACGGGGGGGAGCAAGCGUUGUUCGGAUUUACUGGGCGUAAAGGGCGCGUAGGCGGCACCGCAAGUCGACUGUGAAAUCUCCGGCUUAACUCGGAAAGGUCAGCCGAUACUGCAGGGCUGAGAGUGCAGAAGGGGCAACUGGAAUUCUCGGUGUAGCGGUGAAAUGCGUAGAUAUCUGGAGGAACACCGGUGGCGAAGGCGACGGUCCUGGACCGGCAUUGACGCUG